rnacentral:rRNA from 1 species
UACGUAGGGGGCAAGCGUUGUCCGGAAUCAUUGGGCGUAAAGAGCGUGUAGGCGGCCCGGUAAGUCCGCUGUGAAAGUCGGGGGCUCAACCCUCGGAUGCCGGUGGAUACUGUCGGGCUUGAGUACGGAAGAGGCGAGUGGAAUUCCUGGUGUAGCGGUGAAAUGCGCAGAUAUCAGGAGGAACACCAAUUGCGAAGGCAGCUCGCUGGGACGUUACUGACGCUGAGGAGCGAAAGCAUGGGGAGCGAACAGG